rnacentral:rRNA from 1 species
UGGGGAAUAUUGCACAAUGGGGGAAACCCUGAUGCAGCGACGCCGCGUGAACGAAGAAGGUAUUCGUAUCGUAAAGUUCUGUCCUAUGGGAAGAUAAUGACAGUACCAUAGAAGAAAGCUCCGGCUAAAUACGUGCCAGCAGCCGCGGUAAUACGUAUGGAGCGAGCGUUGUCCGGAAUUAUUGGGCGUAAAGGGUACGCAGGCGGUUUAAUAAGUCGAAUGUUAAAGAUCGGGGCUCAACCCCGUAAAGCAUUGGAAACUGAUAAACUUGAGUAGUGGAGAGGAAAGUGGAAUUCCUAGUGUAGUGGUGAAAUACGUAGAUAUUAGGAGGCAUACCAGUAGCGAAGGCGACUUUCUGGACACAAACUGACGCUGAGGUACGAAAGCGUGGGGAGCAAACAGG